rnacentral:piRNA from 1 species
UAGCACCACCCGUAGAAACUAAAGUGUUUC